rnacentral:rRNA from 1 species
AACGAACGCUGGCGGCAUGCCUAACACAUGCAAGUCGAACGAGAUCUUCGGGUCUAGUGGCGCACGGGUGCGUAACGCGUGGGAAUCUGCCCUUUGGUUCGGAAUAACAGUUGGAAACGACUGCUAAUACCGGAUGAUGACGAAAGUCCAAAGAUUUAUCGCCAGAGGAUGAGCCCGCGUAGGAUUAGCUAGUUGGUGUGGUAAAGGCGCACCAAGGCGACGAUCCUUAGCUGGUCUGAGAGGAUGAUCAGCCACACUGGGACUGAGACACGGCCCAGACUCCUACGGGAGGCAGCAGUGGGGAAUAUUGGACAAUGGGCGAAAGCCUGAUCCAGCUAUGCCGCGUGAGUGAUGAAGGCCUUAGGGUUGUAAAGCUCUCUUACCCGGGAUGAUAAUGACAGCACCGGGAGAAUAAGCUCCGGCUAACUCCGUGCCAGCCGCCGCAGUAA